CCAAAAUACCCUAAUACCAUAAAGGCACCAGAUCCCAUCUGAUCUUGGAAACUAAGCAGGGUAAGCCCUGGUUAGUAUUAGGAUAGGGGACCGCCAAUAAACAUCAGGUGAGAUAUGCU
rnacentral:rRNA from 1 species